rnacentral:rRNA from 1 species
UUAAGCGACUAAGCGUACACGGUGGAUGCCCUGGCAGUCAGAGGCGAUGAAGGACGUGCUAAUCUGCGAUAAGCGUCGGUAAGGUGAUAUGAACCGUUAUAACCGGCGAUUUCCGAAUGGGGAAACCCAGUGUGAUUCGUCACACUAUCAUUAACUGAAUCCAUAGGUUAAUGAGGCGAACCGGGGGAACUGAAACAUCUAAGUACCCCGAGGAAAAGAAAUCAACCGAGAUUCCCCCAGUAGCGGCGAGCGAACGGGGAGCAGCCCAGAGCCUGAAUCAGUGUGUGUGUUAGUGGAAGCGUCUGGAAAGGCGCGCGAUACAGGGUGACAGCCCCGUACACAAAAAUGCACAUACUGUGAGCUCGAUGAGUAGGGCGGGACACGUGGUAUCCUGUCUGAAUAUGGGGGGACCAUCCUCCAAGGCUAAAUACUCCUGACUGACCGAUAGUGAACCAGUACCGUGAGGGAAAGGCGAAAAGAACCCCGGCGAGGGGAGUGAAAAAGAACCUGAAACCGUGUACGUACAAGCAGUGGGAGCACGCUUAGGCGUGUGACUGCGUACCUUUUGUAUAAUGGGUCAGCGACUUAUAUUCUGUAGCAAGGUUAACCGAAUAGGGGAGCCGAAGGGAAACCGAGUCUUAACUGGGCGUUAAGUUGCAGGGUAUAGACCCGAAACCCGGUGAUCUAGCCAUGGGCAGGUUGAAGGUUGGGUAACACUAACUGGAGGACCGAACCGACUAAUGUUGAAAAAUUAGCGGAUGACUUGUGGCUGGGGGUGAAAGGCCAAUCAAACCGGGAGAUAGCUGGUUCUCCCCGAAAGCUAUUUAGGUAGCGCCUCGUGAAUUCAUCUCCGGGGGUAGAGCACUGUUUCGGCAAGGGGGUCAUCCCGACUUACCAACCCGAUGCAAACUGCGAAUACCGGAGAAUGUUAUCACGGGAGACACACGGCGGGUGCUAACGUCCGUCGUGAAGAGGGAAACAACCCAGACCGCCAGCUAAGGUCCCAAAGUCAUGGUUAAGUGGGAAACGAUGUGGGAAGGCCCAGACAGCCAGGAUGUUGGCUUAGAAGCAGCCAUCAUUUAAAGAAAGCGUAAUAGCUCACUGGUCGAGUCGGCCUGCGCGGAAGAUGUAACGGGGCUAAACCAUGCACCGAAGCUGCGGCAGCGACGCUUAUGCGUUGUUGGGUAGGGGAGCGUUCUGUAAGCCUGCGAAGGUGUGCUGUGAGGCAUGCUGGAGGUAUCAGAAGUGCGAAUGCUGACAUAAGUAACGAUAAAGCGGGUGAAAAGCCCGCUCGCCGGAAGACCAAGGGUUCCUGUCCAACGUUAAUCGGGGCAGGGUGAGUCGACCCCUAAGGCGAGGCCGAAAGGCGUAGUCGAUGGGAAACAGGUUAAUAUUCCUGUACUUGGUGUUACUGCGAAGGGGGGACGGAGAAGGCUAUGUUGGCCGGGCGACGGUUGUCCCGGUUUAAGCGUGUAGGCUGGUUUUCCAGGCAAAUCCGGAAAAUCAAGGCUGAGGCGUGAUGACGAGGCACUACGGUGCUGAAGCAACAAAUGCCCUGCUUCCAGGAAAAGCCUCUAAGCAUCAGGUAACAUCAAAUCGUACCCCAAACCGACACAGGUGGUCAGGUAGAGAAUACCAAGGCGCUUGAGAGAACUCGGGUGAAGGAACUAGGCAAAAUGGUGCCGUAACUUCGGGAGAAGGCACGCUGAUAUGUAGGUGAAGUCCCUUGCGGAUGGAGCUGAAAUCAGUCGAAGAUACCAGCUGGCUGCAACUGUUUAUUAAAAACACAGCACUGUGCAAACACGAAAGUGGACGUAUACGGUGUGACGCCUGCCCGGUGCCGGAAGGUUAAUUGAUGGGGUUAGCGCAAGCGAAGCUCUUGAUCGAAGCCCCGGUAAACGGCGGCCGUAACUAUAACGGUCCUAAGGUAGCGAAAUUCCUUGUCGGGUAAGUUCCGACCUGCACGAAUGGCGUAAUGAUGGCCAGGCUGUCUCCACCCGAGACUCAGUGAAAUUGAACUCGCUGUGAAGAUGCAGUGUACCCGCGGCAAGACGGAAAGACCCCGUGAACCUUUACUAUAGCUUGACACUGAACAUUGAGCCUUGAUGUGUAGGAUAGGUGGGAGGCUUUGAAGUGUGGACGCCAGUCUGCAUGGAGCCGACCUUGAAAUACCACCCUUUAAUGUUUGAUGUUCUAACGUUGACCCGUGAUCCGGGUUGCGGACAGUGUCUGGUGGGUAGUUUGACUGGGGCGGUCUCCUCCUAAAGAGUAACGGAGGAGCACGAAGGUUGGCUAAUCCUGGUCGGACAUCAGGAGGUUAGUGCAAUGGCAUAAGCCAGCUUGACUGCGAGCGUGACGGCGCGAGCAGGUGCGAAAGCAGGUCAUAGUGAUCCGGUGGUUCUGAAUGGAAGGGCCAUCGCUCAACGGAUAAAAGGUACUCCGGGGAUAACAGGCUGAUACCGCCCAAGAGUUCAUAUCGACGGCGGUGUUUGGCACCUCGAUGUCGGCUCAUCACAUCCUGGGGCUGAAGUAGGUCCCAAGGGUAUGGCUGUUCGCCAUUUAAAGUGGUACGCGAGCUGGGUUUAGAACGUCGUGAGACAGUUCGGUCCCUAUCUGCCGUGGGCGCUGGAGAACUGAGGGGGGCUGCUCCUAGUACGAGAGGACCGGAGUGGACGCAUCACUGGUGUUCGGGUUGUCAUGCCAAUGGCACUGCCCGGUAGCUAAAUGCGGAAGAGAUAAGUGCUGAAAGCAUCUAAGCACGAAACUUGCCCCGAGAUGAGUUCUCCCUGACUCCUUGAGAGUCCUGAAGGAACGUUGAAGACGACGACGUUGAUAGGCCGGGUGUGUAAGCGCAGCGAUGCGUUGAGCUAACCGGUACUAAUGAACCGUGAGGCUUAACCUU